rnacentral:rRNA from 1 species
CCUACGGGUGGCAGCAGUGGGGGAUAUUGCACAAUGGGGGAAACCCUGAUGCAGCAACGCCGCGUGUGGGAAGAAGGUUUUCGGAUUGUAAACCACUGUUCUUGGUGAAGAUAAUGACGGUAACCAAGGAGAAAGCUCCGGCUAACUACGUGCCAGCAGCCGCGGUAAUACGUAGGGAGCAAGCGUUGUCCGGAUUUACUGGGUGUAAAGGGUGCGUAGGCGGUCUUGCAAGUCAGACGUGAAAACCACAGGCUCAACCUGUGGACUGCGUUUGAAACUGUGGGGCUUGAGUGAAGUAGAGGUAGGCGGAAUUCCCGGUGUAGCGGUGAAAUGCGUAGAGAUCACGCAGAACUCCGAUUGCGAAGGCAGCAUACCGGCGCUCAACUGACGCUCAUGCACGAAAGUGUGGGUAUCGAACAGGAUUAGAUACCCGAGUAGUC